UGGGGGAGGAAGGAGAGCGGAAGAUUGGUCCGGGAAGAAGGCGUCGGGAGAGGGAGAGAGAAGGAGCAGCCAGAGUGCGGAGAAGGCCACAGAGCCCAGAGAGACCCCUCACUGGGAGGCAGGGUUCGAGUUGGUCCGGUGUUAUCUACUCAUCCAGCUUGUCCUAGACAGGAGAUUGGAGGAGGGGCCCAGCCGUGGAACCCGGAAUUGCAAUUGUGCUUUGCUGGUCCCCCCACCAACAACAACAACAACUUUGACCAUCAUGAUUUCGAGUGAACUACCUGCCUGAACAUUCCCUCUCUCAAACACAAAGACAUCAAGCUGGAAAUCGCCCUGGAAGCCAAGAUGACUAAAUUGAAGCUGUCAUACUUUGGACAUAUUGUGAGAAGCCACAACUCAUUGAAAAAAAUAAUAAUGCUAGGAAAGGUGGAGGGAAGUAGAAAGAAAAGAAGGCUGCAUAUUGGAUGGGCUCUAUAAAGGAUGAAUUUACAGGAACUAAGCAGAGCAGUGGAGGACAGAGGGUCUUAGAGGUGUCUCAUCCACAGGGUCACCAUGAGUCGAGAUCAACUCAAGGGCAGUUAACAACAAAUUAUUUUUAACAUCUUUGACUGAUGAAAAAGCCAGUGAAGCUUCGAAAACCUACAAGGUGUAUUUUGUGCUUUUUGGGUUGGUCCAGUAAAGAUAUCAUUGUUUUGUGGUUUUGGGAUUUUGGUGUAUUGUUCUGUACUGUUACUGCAGAAAAAUUACUAGUUACCAAAGUAACUUGUUGCAAAUCACAUUACUUCCAAGUUCUGAUAAAACAAGGAAUGAUAAUAUGGCUCCUUUGCUCUACAAUAAGGACAGAUAAAGAAUUGUUCUAUCAACAGUUUCCUUCCGCUUCCCCGCUCUGAACAUAACAUUUAAAGACAUUAUUCAGAUCUGAAGCUUCAGAAAGAUAUUGUAUAUAAAUAAACUGCAAGGUUUGCAUUAAGGUCAAU